ensembl:snRNA U2 U2 spliceosomal RNA
AAAACUUUUCCAAAAUAAAAAAGAAUCUGUUAUCAGUUUAAUAUCUGAUACGUCCCCUGUCUGGGGACCAUAUAUUAAAUAGAUUUUUGGAAUAGGGAGAUGGAAUAGGGGCUUGCUCUGUCCACUCCACGCAUCAACCUGGUAUUGCAGUACCUCCAGGAACGGUGCACCCCCU